rnacentral:rRNA from 1 species
AUGGACCCGCCGCCCCCUCCUCCGCCGCAGCCGGCGCACGGGGGCUACGCCGCGCGCUUCUCCCCCGCCGGCCUCAUCCACGCGCCCCUCUCCGCGCUGCUCGAGUAUUCCUCGGGCGUCCUGCGGGCCCAGGCCGGCGGCGGUGGGCCCCAGCGCGGGGAGCCCGCCGCGGGGGCCGACGGGGAGGUGUCGAUUCGGAUCGCCGGGCCCGACGACGCGCCUGGCGCCGGCGCGGGGGACGCGGGAGGGCAGCAGCCCGCGGACGAGGAGGCCCCGGCGGCGCGGGGGGACGAGGCCGGCGCGGGCGGGGGGAGCGGGAGGGGGGACUCGCCGUACCAGGGCUACGACGUGCAGCGCCUGGCCAGGUGGGUGGAGCACGCGCUACCCUUCUCCCUGCUCCUGCUCGGCGUCUUCAUCCGCCAGCACCUGCAAGGUUUCUUCGUGAUGAUCUGGAUUGCCGCAGUCAUGUUCAAGUCCAAUGAUAUCUUGCGCAAGCAGACCGCUCUCAAGGGGGAGAGGAAAAUGCCAAUGCUUAUUGGGAUUAUAAUAGUAUUCACCAUUCACGUGUUUGGAGUCUACUGGUGGUACAGGAAUGAUGACCUUGUUAGACCUUUGGUGAUGCUUCCUCCAAAAGAAAUACCUCCAUUCUGGCAUGCUAUAUUUUUCAUCGCUGUGAAUGAUACAAUGGUCCGGCAAGCUGCUAUGGUGGUCAAGUGUGUGCUGCUCAUGUACUACAAAAACAGCAAAGGUCGUCACUAUCGUAGACAGGGCCAAAUGUUGACAGUUGUGGAAUAUUCCCUACUUCUGUACCGUGCGUUGUUGCCGGCUCCUGUGUGGUAUCGUUUUUUCCUGAACAAGGAAUAUGGAAGUCUUUUUUCAUCUUUAACAACUGGAUUGUACCUUACUUUCAAGGUGGCAUCAAUGGUGGAAAAGGUUCGAUCACUUUUGGCUUCAGUGAAUGCGCUGUCUCAUAAGGACUUGCAUUAUGGUUCACAUGCAACAACUGAGCAGGUUCUUGCCGCUGGAGAUCUGUGUGCUAUAUGCCAAGAAAAGAUGCAUACUCCCAUCCUCCUGCAGUGUAAACAUAUCUUCUGCGAAGACUGUGCCUCUGAAUGGUUGGAGCGGGAGCGGACAUGCCCGUUAUGCAGGGCGCUGGUGAAGCCAGGGGACAUUCGGUCAUUCAGUGACGGUUCAACGACCCUCUUCUUUCAGCUCUUCUAA